rnacentral:misc_RNA from 1 species
CUGAGUUGCAAAACUCCCACCAUUGUGAACCUACCUAGACUGUUGCUUCGGCGGGGGGCACUGCCCUGCUUUCCUCUGGGAAGCACCCGCCGGAGGCAUUUAAACUCUGUAUUUUUGGCUUCUCUGAGUAACUUAUUUAAUAAGUCA